GUGCACUGAACAGAGGCAGCAAGUGAGCAGAACAACUCAUCAUGACGGCUUUUUGUCCUUGUCUCCAUGCAAGCCAGGUGUUAUUUCUGUGGUUUCGGACGUUGGUAUUGAUGCACGGUUUUUUAAAAGGGGAGGCUAAAGUCCCAGAGUUUGGUAGACUGCACCUCUCCAGAUGAGAUUUUAAGAGCCCCCGAUUUUCACACAUGGGGAGAGUGAUUGCCCUCACAAACUCUUCCUCCUCAUUGUGGUUUCUAGGUUUUCACUUUGUCAGACAUUUUGAGUUUCGAUCACAAACACUCCACGUUCACAUCACCCAUGCAUGCUGCCCACCCGUAUCCACAAGGCUGCUGUGUCUACUCUGCUCCUGUUUUCCAAAGCACCCCUUCCAUCAGGAAAUGUGCCUUCCAUUCCUAGGGAUGUCAUGAUUCCCAGCUUUCAUAUCUCCUCACAGAGGAGGUUCCCAAAUUACUCUGGGUUCUCAGUCCAGAAGUUGAGCCUUUAAAACCCUUUUCUGUCAUAUGGUCAGUCCGUUGCAGGGUGCAGCCCCUCAGCAGCCAAGAUUCCCUGUGGAUAGCUCUUCAAUCUGAUUGCCUGGGCUUUCUCCAUCAUGAAACCUUUCAUCUCCUUGGUCCUUGUCACACACCCUGAACCCCAAAAUAGAAAAGCCACAACAGAAUGAAGUAGAUGAGAAACAAUCUCCUUGUUUAUAAUUCCGUUUAUUUCCUCACAUACCAGCCAAGCUUCUCAGUCAGGCAGACACAAUAGAUGGAAUGGCAAGGGAAGUGAAGAGUGGAGGCUGCAUCCCUUCAGCCGCCAGCUGAUGUUCUGCUUAUUUCGCAUACCGGAACUCCCAGGCGUCCUCAAACCACAAUCACAGUUGUUGGUUCCAGAAACAUCUUCUUUGGAAAAACAUGUGACAUCAGUUUCCUCAGAGUCUUCCGGACAAUCCAGUCACACAGAACUGACAAAACCUUGUCAGGUGAGAAGAUAAGGAUCUUCUUCAAUACAGAAUAUGUCAACAUCUCCUUCUGAAUAGUUCCGUUUAUUUGCUCACAUACCAGCCAAGCUUCUCAGUCAGCAGGCACAAUAGACUGAAUAGGAAGGGAAGUGAAGAGUGAAGUCUGGAUCCGUUUAGCCUCCAGCUGAUGUUCUGCUUAUUUCCUGUACUGGAACUCUCAGAAGUCCUCAAACCACAAUCACAGUUGUUGGUUCCAGAAACAUCUUCUUUGGAAAAACAUGUGACAUCAGUUUCCUCAGAGUCUCCCGGACAAUCCAGUCACGCAGAACUGACAAAACCUUGUCCAGUAAGAAGGUAAGAAUCUUCUUCAAUAGAGAAUACGUCAACGUCUCCGUGAACGAAGAGAUCUGCUGGUUCCAAGGACUUGUCGUGGAUUUCUGUCCUAGAUACUUUCUUCCGUAAUUCAAGAUAAAGAAAAUUACAAUCUCUGCUGUCCAUUCCAUCGCUUUUCCCUUCAGAAUCAUAAUCAGAGAAUCCUUGCAGAACGUCGUGAGUGUGCUCUCAGCUGCAAUCACCAGAAGGACUCUUCACACUCGGUGAGUCCUCCUCAUUUUAUAGAAGCCAAAGCAGUGACGUAUGCUCACCCCUCCCGCCCCCAGGAGAGAGGUUGCUGGCCAAUGAGCUUGAGCUUCGUCAUCCUUCCAAGCCCCACCCAGUUCCUUUGCUUCCCUUUCACCAACUUUGACUGAAAUGAAUAGGUUACAACCUUUAGCUUUCUGCCCCUUGGAAAACGGAAGCAUUUAGACAUCCGUAUUAAUAUUUGGAUCUAGAGUGUUCGUGUUUUAGCACUUCCUUUUUUGAAAGGAGAAGCAGACGUGUUGUGUUUUUAGGAACACUUCCAAGAAGUUUCUCCUCCUCUAUGAUGAAACCAACACAAGAAAGCCAAAAGGGCGUUUAACCCCUUGAAGCACUGAGAGUUUCCCUGCUGAUAUUCUUAGACUGUUCUUUUUCUAAAACGAGAAAGAGGUAAGUUCUCUUUUUUUUUUUACACUGCCCAAAACUCUCUCUGCUCAGUGCUGGGCACUGGAAAACAAUGGCCCUCUCUCUGGAAACCACUAUCUGCCAUCUCAAGGGCCCACUACAGGUCUGCCCAGCAUUUUCAUCCCUUCCUCAAGUCUGGUGCCCAGGACCCUCCUCUGCUCUGACAGCCAGGCAGCAGCACUCAAACUCCCCUCCCCUCUUAGCCUUCAUACCUUCAGCUGCACUUCUGCCUCUGCAGUGUCAGGAUGACCUCCCCUUCCUCCUGUCCUUCCUCAUUCUUAAGACUUCCUACCCCUUCUGGAUUAAUUUAUGGAAAACCUAAAUAAUCUCUUUCAAAUUUUAGCCCACUUUUUACAUGUAGAUUGUUUUAUAAGAUGAAUUUUAACAAACCUUUUCUAAGUUGUUCAACCAUUUUCUUUUGUCUUUUUGUUAUUUUAUUUCCUGAAUUUAAAAUAUUUGAAAACCUCUAAACUUGACAAAACUAAUUUUUUCAUAAAAGCUAUGUUCUCAUGUCCUUUUAUAAACUUUGACUUAAAAUAUAUUUUACUUGUUCAGUCAGAUUUGUGUGUGAAAAUUUUUAAGUAGCUUUAGAUACAAAUAUUAAUUAUAAUGGUAACUCUUAAGUAUGCAUUUUUAGUAAACCACUUAGGAGACAACCAAUUUUAAUUAUGUCCUUGAUGUAGAGCUUAAAGAAAAAGAUGGAGCUGUAGAAAACAUCUUAGUCUUGAAAUAUCUUACUCUUCCCAGUAUAAGGGGGGGCAUGGCCCUAUUUCACAGGUGCCCAGGCCUUAGCUAGAAAUGGAUGGUUCCAAGACAUGUCAAAAAACUGUUUGAAAGGUUUUAGAAGUUGUUAAUGACAUGAAAAUAUUUAGUAAAGGCAGUAUUUGAUCUGUCUAAUUUGGAUCCAAUAUCUAAACUCUGAAGACAUAUUUAUUUUAUUUUGCUAAUUUUAAAAGUGGCUUUAUUUUUUAAAAUAAUGUUUAUGUUUCUUUCAAUAGUGUGUGGAAUAUAUGUGGUUUUUGGUUAUGUGGAUAAAAGUUCCUUAGUGGUAAUUUCUGAGAUUUUGAGGCAUCUGUCUCCUGAGCAGUGUAUAAUAUACCCAAUAUGUCAUCAUUUAUUCCUCAUCCCCCUCCCAACCUUUCCCCGAGUCCCCAAGUCCAUUAUAUCAUUCUUAUGCCUUUGCAUUCUCAUAGCUUAACUCUCAUUUAAAAGUGAAAACAUUCAAUAUUUGAUUUGCCAUUCCUCAGUUACUUCACUUAGAAUAAUGGCUUCCAGUUCCAUCCAACUUGUUGCAAAGGACAUUAUUUUGUUCCUUUUUAUUAUCAAGUAUUAUUCCAUGGUGUACCACAUUUGCUUUAUCCACUCGUUCGUUGAUGGGCACUUAAGUUGGUCCCAUAUCACUGCAAUUGCGAAUCGGCUGCUAUAAACAUCCAUAUUCUUGUGUCUUUUUUAUGGAAUAACUUCUUUUCCUUUGGGUAGAUAGCCAGUAAUGGGAUUGCUGGAAUGAAUGGUCUACUUUUAGUUCUUUAAGGAAUCCCCAUACUGUUUACCAUAGUGGUCGGACUAGUUUAAAUUCCCACUAGCAGUGUCAAAGUGCUCCCUUUUGACCACAUCUAUGCCAACAUCUAUUGUUUUCUGACUUUUAAAUUAUGGGCUUCUAGCAAGAUUAAGAUAGCAUCUCAUUGUGGUUUUGUUGUGGGAUUUAGGAGGAUGAGAGAGAGGCUUUGGGUUAAAACAGGAGAAUCUUUUAUUGAGUGCUCUCAGGCCCAGCAGACUCACGUCCAAAGACAGGGCCUGGAACAAAGACAGCACUUGACUUUUAUACACACUUCACAAAAGGGGGUGGGCCAGCUUGAAGCAAGCUUACAGUGGUGUGAAAGCAGGGAUACAGAGGCAGGAAAAAGACAGUUAAUCAAAUUGUAACAGGUUCAUAACUCAGGAUUGCACAUAACUGUUGCUAUGCAACCCAGAUGUCUAUUAUCUAGGUUUUGCUCUAAAGAGGCUUGCAUUGGUUUAUCUUCACUAUGGUGCCUAGAGAGCUGUAGUUCAGGCCUGCUCAGGCUUCUCAUGACCUUUGCCAUACUUCUUAGAUAAAACAGAAUACUUGAAGUUACUAGUUAAAGAGAACAAGAAUCUAUAAACUCAUACCAUAAAACAAAGGAAAAUUUGUUUUUCUUCUCCCUACAUUGAAGGAGUGCUGGAAGAGUCUCCAGAAUACAAUAAAUAAUAUUAUCAAGACUUUUCCUGGGUCUGGGCUGUGCCUGUUGCUGCCUCUGGGACAAGUUAGCUUAAUACAAGAAAGCUUAUUUCCCUUUCUUUUUAAUUUUAUUUUUCUUUAAUUUCCCACCUCAGUUUUACUUUGCAUUUCCCUGAGAAUUUUUAAUAAGUAAAAUACUUAGAAAUAUACUUAACCAAGUAGGUUAAUGUAAGUUUCCUACAAGGAAAACUACAAAAUAGUGCUGAAAGAAAUCACAGUUGACACAAACAAAUGGGAACACAUUAUAAGCUUAUGAAUAGGUAGAAUCAAUAUUGUGAAAGUGACCAUACUCUCCAAAGCCAUCUACAGAGCAGUAGAAUUCUCAUCAAAAUAUCAUCAUUCUCCUUCCCAGAACUAGAAAAAAGAAUCCUAAAAUUUAUACAAAACCAAAAACGUGACCGCAUAUCCAAAGCAAUACUUUGCAAAAAGAACAAAUCUGAAGGCAGGCUUUAAAUUAUACUACAAGGCUACAAUCACCAAAAUAGCAUGAUACUGGUAUAAAAUAUGCACAUAGAGCAAUAGAACAGAAUAGAGAACCCAGAAAUAAAGCCAAAUGCUUACAGACAACUAAUCUUCAACAAAGUACACAAAAACAUUAAUUGGGGAAAGGAUACUUUAUUCAAUAAAUGGUGCAGGAAGUAUAAAAAUAGGCACAUAGAGCAAUGGAACAGAAUAGAGAACCCAGAAAUAAAGCCAAAUGCUUACAGACAACUAAUCUUCAACAAAGUAUGCAAAAACACUAAUUGGGGAAAGGACACUUUAUUCAAUAAAUGGUGCAGGAAGUAUAAAAAUAGGCACAUAGAGCAAUGGAACAGAAUAGAGAACCGAGAAACAAAGCCCGGUACUUUCAGUCACCUGAUCUUUAACAAAGCAUAUAAAAACUUCCAUCUAAGACCUGAAAGUCUAAAAAUGCUACAAGAUAGCAUCCAAAAAGCUUUUCUAGACAUUGGCUUAGGCCAAGUAGUCAUGACUAAUGCCCCAAAAGCAAACGCAAAAAUAUAAAAAUAGAAUAAGAUCAAUAGGACCUAAUGAAACCGAAAAUCUUCUGCAAGGCAGAAGAAAUAUCAGCAGGGUAAACACACAACCCACAGUAUAGGAAACAGUAGUCACAAACUAGGCAUCUGACAAAGGACUAAUGUCCAGACUCCAAAGGAACUGAAAGAAAUCAGCAAGAAGAAAAGGUGCCAUUUACCACCUUCCUGACUCAUUGGCCAGAACCAAUGUUAGUGGAAUUAACAUAUGCCCCACCCCAAGUGACUUCUAAAGGGCUAACUCACCACAAGGGAGUCAGAGCAGAUCUUGGACUGAGACCUACAGGACACAGCGACUCUUAAAUAGGUGGCUCACCAGGAGAAAGGCAUAGCAGAACCUGGACUGAGACCUACGGGAGACAGAUCACCCUGGCCCACCAUGCCCUAUCCUGUGCCUAAAAAAACCCUGGGACCCUAGCAGGCAGACACACAGGAGGUUGGACGUCGAGAGGAGCACAUCAGUGCAAGAACACAUGGGUGGCUGCCACUUCUCUCCCUUUCCUGAGAGGGAAAAACUCUCGACGCUGAGAGGAAUCCACCAACAGGCACCAGCACUCUGGCAGGCCACCGACCAAUGGAUUGACAUAGAGUUUGGCUGGGGCAGCCAGAGGAGAGCCUGGGCCGCUGAAUAACCCGACUUCAGGGGAAAACUAUUCUCCCUUUUGGCUCCCCCAUCUGCUGAGAGCUACUUCCACUCAAUAAAACCUUGCACUCAUUCUCCAAGACCACGUGUGAUUUGAUUUUUCUGGUACACCUAGGUAACAACCGCGGGAUACAGAAAGCCCUCUGUCUUUGGGUUAAGGAAUGGGUCUAAUUGAGCUGGUUACCACAAAGCCACCUAUAGAUGGCAAAACUAAAAGAGCACAUGGUACCACAUGUCCACUGGGGCUUCAGCAGCUGUAAACAUCUACCCCUAGAUGCUGCCAUGGGGUUGUAGCCCCACAACUUGCCAGUCUGUAUGCUUCCCUAGAGGUUUGAGCAGCGGAGUACUAAAGAAGCAAGCCACACCCCCACUCCACCUCCUGUGAGGGGGACAAGGAAACUUUUCCCAUUUCAACUGGUGGCUCGUCUGGGAUCUCGGAAGAUCAUCCUGGCCUGCUAAGACCCAUCCUGUGCUUAUAAAAACCCCAAGACCCUAGCAGUCAGACACACAGGAGGCUUGACGUCGAGAGGAGCACAUCAGCGGAGGAACACACAGGCGGCUGGACAUGAAGAGGAACAUGACAACAGGCACCAGCACACCAGCAGGGCACCGACUUAUAGAACGAUGUGGAUUUUGCCUGGGGCAGUCAGAGGAGAGCCAGGGCUGCUGAACGGCCCCAAUCCAGGGAGAAACCAAUCUCCUUUCUGGCUCCCCCAUCUGCUGAGAGCUACUUCCACUCAAUAAAACCUUGCACUCAUUCUCCACGUCCACGUGUGACCUGAUUCUUCUGGAAUGCCAAGGCAAGAACCCUAGGAUACAGAAAGCCCUCUGUCCUUGUGAUAAGGAAUGUGUCUAAUUGAGCUAGUUACCACAAGUUGCCUAUAAAUGGCAAAACUAAAAGACCACACGACCACUGGGGCUUCAGGAACUGUAAACAUCCACCCCUACACACUGCCAGUAUGAGAAAAAUUUGCUGAUAUGUUUUCUGCUGACCUGAUGACAAUGUUCCUAUGGUCACACUAACCACUGCUGGGUAAUUUUCAUCAUGACUCUCGUUUUCAUCUGCUGAAACCAGCCUCCCCAAGAAAGACAACUAUUUUCAAACUGAGGAAAUAAAGUGUUACUAAACCACAGUGUUCUCUCAUGGCUGUUCCUGGAGUUCUUCAAAACACUUGAUAUUAUAAAAUAGAAUUAUUACAGAUCACUGUAUGUUAUGGAUUUAGUCAAAAUGAUAAUUUAAAAUAUGGUUUAAAAUAAAAAACUUUAUUUUCCAAAGAAGAUAGUUUUUUAAACAAGAAUAUCCAAUAAAGACAGUAUGAGGUCAGCUGACUUUAGUGUUGGUGUAUGUGUAUGUGUGUGUGUG
rnacentral:lncRNA from 10 species